GAUGAACGCUGGCGGCGUGCCUAAUACAUGCAAGUCGAGCGAACAGACGAGGAGCUUGCUCCUUUGACGUUAGCGGCUGACGGGUGAGUAACACGUAGAUAACCUUCCUCUAAUACUGGGAUAACUUCGGGAAACCGGAGCUGAUACCGGAUAAUAUUACGAACCGCAUGGUUCGAUAGUUAAACAUGGCUUUGCCAUCACUUAUAGAUGGUCCUGCGCCGUAUUAGCUAGUUGGUAAGGUAACGGCUUACCAAGGCAACGAUACGUAGCCGACCUGAGAGGGUGAUCGGCCACACUGGAACUGAGACACGGUCCAGACUCCUACGGGAGGCAGCAGUAGGGAAUCUUCCGCAAUGGGCGAAAGCCUGACGGAGCAACGCCGCGUGAGUGAUGAAGGUCUUCGGAUCGUAAAACUCUGUUAUUAGGGAAGAACAAACGUGUAAGUAACUGUGCACGUCUUGACGGUACCUAAUCAGAAAGCAACGGCUAACUACGUG
rnacentral:rRNA from 1 species